GGAAGGAUCAUUCCACAUUUUCUGUGCUGGCUUUGGCUGGUACAACCCCCCCUCUACACGUGUUGUCUGGGGUCGUCUCGCUUCGGUGGGGCUCCUCUCUGAGCGCAAGCUCAGAACAACCCUUUUUAUGGUGCCCAGUUGGAACCAUGAAUGUUGCCAUAAACAAAAAAGCCAAGACUUUUAGCAACGGAUACCUUGGCUCCCACAACGAUGAAGAACGCAGCGAAACGCGAUAACUAGUGCGAAUUGCAGAGUUCAGUGAAUCAUCGAGAUUUUGAACGCAUCUGGCGCCUUCGGGUUACUCCUGGAGGCACACCUCUUUCAGUAUCGCCUACCCACCUAAACCGGUUCCCCCUUUUUUGAGGGGGGAUUGGCUUGGAAGAAUGGAAGUUGGACCCGCUCCAUCUUCUCAAGGUUUUGUGUACAGGCGUUGAUCCCUGUGUGUUCUUUGAAAGUAGUUGUUCAAUUGCAGUCAAUGGAACCUUGGGAUAUUCUACAGCGCCCUAGGAUGCGGUCUCCUCUCAGGAGGGAUCCAUCAGCUCUUUACAUUUGAUCUGAGAUGAGGUGAGAUUACCCGCUGGAUUUAAGCAUAUAAUUAAGCGGAGGAAAAGAAACUAAACAGGAUUGCCCUAGUAACAGCGAGUGAAGCGGCAAUAGCUCAAGCCUGGAAUCUUUUUCAGUCUCUGGAAAAGAAUUGUGGUCUAGAGAGUUUUCGCCAGCGUGUGGCCCCAGCCUAAAUCUGCUGGAAAGCAGUGGCAGAGAGGGUGACACCCCCGUCCGCAGCUGGGAGUCCGCCGCGUACGGCAGAACCUCUAAGAGUCGGGUUGCUUGGGAGUGCAGCCUGAAGCGGGUGGUAAAUUCCAUCCAAAGCUAAAUACCUGUGGGAGACCGAUAGCGCACAAGUACCGUGAGGGAAAGGUGAAAAGGACUUUGAAAAGAGAGUCAAAAGUACUUGAAAUUGCUAAAAGCAAUCGAUAGGGACUAGUGCAUCGGUCGGCGUAGGUCUCUGUUUGUGGAUACAGGUAGUCUGGGGCGUCCUUGAAUGGGCGUUCGGAUGUGCAGUGUCCCGAGCUUAAAGCCUGCGUCGCGGGUCACCUGGGAUUGUGGCCGCGGGAGAAUGGGGUGGCGGUGGUAGGUGUGUGAGCGAUUACGCGAUCCCCGAAUACGUCCCCUGAUACCGUAGCUGUGAUUCAUUCUGGUGACGAAAUGGUCUCUAUCGGCCCGUCUUGAAACACGGACCAAGGAGUCUAGCGUAUAUGCGAGUAUUUGGGUGGCAAACCCGAAUGCGGAAUGAAAGUGAAGGCAAGCUUUGGUUUGCUGAGAUGCCAACCCGUUACUGGGCGCAGCAUCGCCCGGCCUGUCCAUUAGUGUUAGGUCCGAGGUCGAGCAUAUCCGUUAGGACCCGAAAGAUGGUGAACUAUACCUGAGCAGGGUGAAGCCAGGGGAAACUCUGGUGGAAGCUCGUAGCGAUACUGACGUGCAAAUCGUUCGUCGGACUUGGGUAUAGGGGCGAAAGACUAAUCGAACCAUCUAGUAGCUGGUUCCCUC
rnacentral:misc_RNA from 1 species